rnacentral:rRNA from 1 species
AGAGGCCCAAGUUGAUGAAUUACGGCGUAAAGAGUGGUUAAGCUAAAAUUAAAACUAAAGCCGAACACCCCCAAAGCUGUUAUACGCAUCCGGAGGUGAGAAGUUCAACCACGAAGGUGGCUUUAUCUAACCUGAACCCACGAAAGCUAAGGCACAAACUGGGAUUAGAUACCCCACUAUGCCUAGCCCUAAACAUUGAUAGAAUUUUACAACCACUAUCCGCCCGGGGACUACAAGCAUCA